rnacentral:rRNA from 1 species
UGGAGGAAAGCAGGGGAUCGUAAGACCUUGCGCUUUUGGAGCGGCCGAUGUCUGAUUAGCUAGUUGGUGGGGUAAUGGCCUACCAAAGCUUCGAUCAGCAGCUGGUCUGAGAGGACGGCCAGCCACACUGGGACUGAGACACGGCCCAGACUCCUACGGGAGGCAGCAGUGGGGAAUUUUGGACAAUGGGCGCAAGCCUGAUCCAGCCAUGCCGCGUGAGUGAAGAAGGCCUUCGGGUUGUAAAGCUCUUUCAGCCGGGAAGAAAAGGCUGCGACUAAUAAUCGCAGUUCAUGACGGUACCGGAAGAAGAAGCACCGGCUAACUACGUGCCAGCAGCCGCGGUAAUACGUAGGGUGCGAGCGUUAAUCGGAAUUACUGGGCGUAAAGGGUGCGCAGGCGGUUUUGUAAGUCAGAUGUGA